rnacentral:rRNA from 1 species
UACAGAGGGUGCGAGCGUUGUUCGGAAUUACUGGGCGUAAAGCGCGCGCAGGCGGCCUUUUAAGUCUGACGGUGAAAUGCCGGGGCUCAACCCCGUGCCCGCCGGAGAUACUGGGAGGCUGGAGACGAGUAGAGGCAAGCGGAAUUCCGGGUGUAGCGGUGGAAUGCGUAGAGAUCCGGAAGAACACCGGAGGCGAAGGCGGCUUGCUGGGCUCAGUCUGACGCUGAGGCGCGAAAGCGUGGGGAGCGAACAGG